rnacentral:rRNA from 1 species
UACGAAGGGGGCUAGCGUUGCUCGGAAUCACUGGGCGUAAAGCGCACGUAGGCGGCUUUUUAAGUCAGGGGUGAAAUCCUGGAGCUCAACUCCAGAACUGCCUUUGAUACUGGAAAGCUUGAGUCCGGAAGAGGUGAGUGGAACUCCGAGUGUAGAGGUGAAAUUCGUAGAUAUUCGGAAGAACACCAGUGGCGAAGGCGGCUCACUGGGCCGGAACUGACGCUGAGGAGCGAAAGCGUGGGGAGCGAACAGG